rnacentral:rRNA from 1 species
AGUUUGUUGCAUUAGACCCGAAACCGAGUGAUCUAGCCAUGAGCAGGUUGAAGGUUGGGUAACACCAACUGGAGGACCGAACCCGCAUCUGUUGCAAUAGAUUGGGAUGACUUGUGGCUAGGGGUGAAAGGCCAAUCAAACUCGGAAAUAGCUGGUUCUCCGCGAAAUCUAUUUAGGUAGAGCGUCGAGCGAAUACCCCCGGGGGUAGAGCACUGGAUGGGCUAUGGGGACUCACCGUCUUACUGAUCCUAACCAAACUCCGAAUACCGGGGAGUACUACUCGGCAGACACACGGCGGGUGCUAACGUCCGUCGUGAAAAGGGCAACAACCCUAACCUCCAGCUAAGGUCCCCAAGUCAUGGCUAAGUGGGAAAGGAUGUGAGGAUCCCAAAACAACCAGGAUGUUGGCUUAGAAGCAGCCAUCAUUUAAAGAAAGCGUAACAGCUCACUGGUCUAAAUAAGGGUCUUUGCGCCGAAAAUGUAACGGGGCUGAAGCCAUGCACCGAAGCUGAGGAUGUGUAGCAAUACACGUGGUAGCGGAGCGUUCCGUAAGCUGAUGAAGGGAGACCCGUGAGGGCUCCUGGAGGUAUCGGAAGUGCGAAUGUUGACAUGAGUAACGAUAAAGAGGGUGAGAGACCCUCUCGCCGAAAGACCAAGGGUUCCUGCUUAAAGUUAAUCUGAGCAGGGUUAGCCGGCCCCUAAGACGAGGCGGACACGCGUAGUCGAUGGGAACCACGUUAAUAUUCGUGGGCCUGGUGGUAGUGACGGAUUGCACAAGUUGUUCUGGUUUAUUGGAUUAUCAGGGCAGCGGAGCGGUUCCAGGAAAUAGCUCCACCGUAUAGACCGUACCCGAAACCGACACAGGUGGUCAGGUAGAGUAUACCAAGGCGCUUGAGAGAACUAUGUUGAAGGAACUCGGCAAAUUGCACGCGUAACUUCGGAAGAAGCGUGACCCCAUUUUAGGCAACUAUGAUGGGGUGGCACAGACCAGGGGGUAGCGACUGUUUAUCAAAAACACAGGGCUCUGCGAAGUCGCAAGACGACGUAUAGGGUCUGACGCCUGCCCGGUGCUGGAAGGUUAAGAGGAGAGGUGCAAGCUUUGAAUCGAAGCCCCAGUAAACGGCGGCCGUAACUAUAACGGUCCUAAGGUAGCGAAAUUCCUUGUCGGGUAAGUUCCGACCUGCACGAAUGGCGUAACGACUUCCCCGCUGUCUCCAACAUAGACUCAGUGAAAUUGAAUUCCCCGUGAAGAUGCGGGGUUCCUGCGGUCAGACGGAAAGACCCCGUGCACCUUUACUAUAGCUUUACACUGGCAUUCGUGUCGGCAUGUGUAGGAUAGGUGGUAGGCUUUGAAGCGGGGACGCCAGUUUCCGUGGAGCCAUCCUUGAAAUACCACCCUUAUCGUCAUGGAUGUCUAACCGCGGCCCGUCAUCCGGGUCCGGGACAGUGUAUGGUGGGUAGUUUGACUGGGGCGGUCGCCUCCGAAAGAGUAACGGAGGCGCGCGAUGGUGGGCUCAGACCGGUCGGAAAUCGGUCGUCGAGUGCAAUGGCAUAAGCCCGCCUGACUGCGAGACUGACAAGUCGAGCAGAGACGAAAGUCGGUCAUAGUGAUCCGGUGGUCCCGCGUGGAAGGGCCAUCGCUCAACGGAUAAAAG